GAAUCAGUUUUAAAUGGAAAGCACACCUGGGAUGAUUCAGUUCCAGAAGAGGCUCAACAUGAUCCUGGGAUUAUGACAGUCGCCAAGUAACUGAGCAACAGCGUUUUCUCUGGCAAAGUAAGAAAAGGCACUUGAACACCAUCCCAGCAGCACUGAGCCCUUCAGCAGCAGCCCUCCUCUCAGGUCACUGUGUAACCCCGUGAGGAUGGCUGCAUGCUGGCAACGUGCACCUCACUCAGGAGCAGCACCUGAAAGCAUCCCUUGGACUGGUCUCACCAGGCAAGCUUGCCUCGUUGCAGGGAAUCUGUAAGAAGAGCUACGGAUUAAGCCUCACGUAUUAUUGGCAACAAUGGGCAUUUCUUACUUUCCAUGCUAAAGCCUUUGAAUAAAUUACACAGCAAUGAAUGAUUUGAUGUUACAAGGAAAGAAUUUGAGUCUUGAUGCAUGCAAGUCUACUAAGCCUAUGGGCUGCCACAAGGUUAUAGGCUCACUGGUAGGAAAUGUAUGGACACACACAAUCUUGGAAUGUAUAAUGCAGUGAAAUUGAUAAAAUUUAGACCUAGGAAGAAACAUUUCCUACCAGCUGAAAGACACCUCCUUGCCUUCUGCUCCUCAGCUGUGCCAUAUGUGUGCUGCAGCACAGCUUAACCCAGAAGUCAAAGCUGAGAUGCAUCCCACGGUCUCCCGAACCAAUUUCUGGAACCAAGAGCUCUGGUAAUGCUGCUGGGACAACCUGUAAAAGCAGCUGGGGAGAAGAGCUUGGGCUAUGCAGCGGGUCAAGCAGGAGGUGGGAACGAAGCAUAUGGGCUACCUUGGGAAAUGCACAAAAAAUUGCUUUCAGCUUCUACUGAUACCAUAGAAGAUGAUCUCUUGGACAGAAUAACACCUAAAAGCAAGUAUAUCUGCAUGGCCAGUGGAAUCCUCCCUCAAACUGGGUGAGCUCCUUGUCUUCCACACCAGCUCCUGGGGGCUGCAACUGCCCUUUCCAGGAUGCCUGCCUGAACAUGUUUGUCUCCAGAGCUUUCAUUUUUAACUUUUUCCAUUUUUCUCCCAUUACUGUUCCCCUUCCCUCACCUUAUUUCUUCUGAAUUUGAAAUUAGUUUGCUUCAAGCACUCCAGUGCUUGAACACUCUUUUCUGCUCCCAGAAAACAAAACCUAUUUUUAAUAGUUCUGAGACUAUACAGCAGUGAAGGCCAACACACAAAUGAUCUAAACAUUUACAUUUUUGAGCAUUGCAAAGGACAUCUGAUUGCUUGAUAAAAAAAUUCUGUUUCCUAUUGUUGCUACUGCUAAACAAAAUAAAGUAAAAGAUACUGGGGAAAUGCCAGGUGAGGAUUAGAAAGGAUCCAUUUGUCCCUAUUUCCCCACUGCUUUCGUUUUCAGUCUCCAACUUGCCAUCAUUUCCUCAGCUUGGGAAAAGUUACAGGGAAAUGAAAGCAAGGCAAACUCCAGCUUUUCUACUCCCGUACUUUGAAAUAAGAGUUCAUCUGGUGGGUUACAGUAGAAAAAUGGUGAGAAAAUGUAAAUGAGGAACAUGAAGAAUUGGGCAGGUUCCUUCUUCCCCCUGGAGUCAAGGUGAACUCAGAAAUUUGGCAAAUCCAAAGAUAAUGGAAAAAUAGAAAAUAAUAGAAAAAUACCAUCUAAGAAACACCACAAACAAUCCUGGAAAAGCUGCUGCAGCUGAAACACUGUGAAGGAAAAACAGCCUACACUUCUCCCUCCAGGAGCAUGGCAAGCGUGCUCUUCCCUUUGCUGCUGUCACCGCAAAGUGAAUUUUUGCAUGACUGCUGCAAGGGACCAGCUUCUCUCCAAGAGGGUGCUUGGGUUCUUUGAUGACAUGUGACUCCCCUUCUAUAUGAAUAACAUCUGCAAAUACACAGAGAGUCUUUGGUGUUGUUUCUGGCUUAAAAUAAUUUGUUAUUUGGAGCAUUUCAACCAAUCACUCCCCUGCUUGCUGUUAUGGCUGGUCACGAUGUCACGUCUGAGCCUUUCCACUCAAAACAUGUGAUUCUUAUAACGAUCAGGUCCUUGCAUCCAUGUGGCAGCUCUCAGCAUCCCAAAGCCAUCCCAAAGGAAUGAUGAUGCCUGCUCUUCUAGGCAGAGCUGUUGACCUUUUUCAGACCAUUUAAGUCACAGGAAGGAAUUACGAGGAUGAUACAGAAAAAUCAGUGACUACCUCACCUACCUCCUUGGGCCUGAUGAUCUCUGUGGGUCCCUUCCAAUUUGGGUAAUUCUGUGAUUAUCUCCACCAUAUAUCUAGAGGGCUUCUCCCACUUCCACCUAGAGCAGAGCAACAUCAAGCUUUCUUCCCUAUCUUUAUUCAGAUAUAAUAAUACAAAAAAGGCCACUCUGGGUCAGACCAAAGGCACACAUUGUCUAGUAUCUUCUCUGUAGUGAAGAACAGCAGUGAAAUGGAGGGCUGAGUGUAAAAACAGGGUGAUCGGACAGUGAUACUUCCCCAGAACGUACUUUGUGCUGCUGGCACUCUGUGGCUCUCCCAGCCAAAACAAAUGCCUUGUGUUUAAUGCCUUUUGAUGAGUUUAUUGACCAUGACCUUUUCUAGCAGCCCUUAUACCCCAUGCAGUUUUGGCUCCCAGAAGGUAUUGUGGCAAGGGGAUCCUCAUCUUCACUACAGCCCCAUAAGGGAUGCUCUCCUUAAGCCAUCCUGCUAAGUUUAUCUGAUUUCUCUUGUUCUUGCAUCGGAGGAAAGAGGGAGGUGUGCCAGCACUCUCUCUGUACUUAGACAACAAGCAAUGUUUUGUAACAACAAUUUUUCCACAAUUUGCCCAGCUGUACUGCCCCACUCCCUUACAGGCUUUAAGGAGAGCAGCUCCAGAGGUGUGCAGGGACCAGAGGAGACGUCCCAGAGGAGACAUCUGGGUAGAGUGAGGUGGGAGGGAGGCACACGGCCACGCGCACCGUCACCAGGCUGCCUGAGCAGAGAACUAAUAUCAUUUGUGUGGGAUUUUCCUCCCCCUCCCGCAGAUCAAAAGGACAGCAGCAAUGCAAUCUGCUGUUUGUGUAGGAAAUGUGUCAGAAGAGGGAAGGAGGGGAUACACAUGGGAACAUCUGCUCUAAGAAGCCACUUGGAAAUUAACCCUUUAGGUCCUGGGCCAGCCAGCACCUGCCUGGCACCAAGCACAGGAGGAGCUCCUGGCACAUCAGGGCCACAUGCAUCCACGGCUCCUUCUGCACAGUGCUGGAGGGACGUCAGGUGCCGGCUGCUGCUGAGGAGCAAUCCCUCCCCUGGCUUCCUUGGGGAGGGACUGCACUACCCCAGCACUGGUGCUCCAGGGCCAUCGUCAGCAUGGUGACUCUGCCAGCUGCAUUAGGGUGUAGGAAUUGCUGUGUAUGGCCAGACUCACGUCCAUGCAACCCCUGGACGAGUGCAGGAUUUGCAGUUUGGCUUCUUCAGUCACUAGUGCUAAGAGUGAG